rnacentral:rRNA from 1 species
GAAGUAAGUAAAGUGGCGCACGGGUGAGUAACGCGUGGGUAAUCUACCCUUGAACCGGGGAUAACCCGCCGAAAGGCGGGCUAAUACCGAAUGGCAUCUUGAAAAUUUAUGUUUUCAGGAUCAAAGGUGGCCUCUACAUGUAAGCUACUGUUUGGGGAUGAGCCCGCGUACCAUUAGCUUGUUGGUAGGGUAAUGGCCUACCAAGGCUACGAUGGUUAGCUGGUCUGAGAGGAUGAUCAGCCACACUGGAACUGACACACGGUCCAGACUCCUACGGGAGGCAGCAGUGAGGAAUUUUGCGCAAUGGGGGAAACCCUGACGCAGCAACGCCGCGUGAGUGAUGAAGGCUUUCGGGUCGUAAAGCUCUGUCAAGUGGGAAGAAUCCAUAUGGUGUUAAUACUGCCAUAUGCUGACGGUACCACUGAAGGAAGCACCGGCUAACUCCGUGCCAGCAGCCGCGGUAAUACGGGGGGUGCGAGCGUUAUUCGGAAUUACUGGGCGUAAAGAGCGCGUAGGCGGUCUUUUAAGUCAGGUGUGAAAGCCCGGGGCUCAACCCCGGAAGUGCACUUGAAACUAAGAGACUUGAGUAUGGGAGAGGGAAGUGGAAUUCCUGGUGUAGCGGUGAAAUGCGUAGAUAUCAGGAGGAACAUCGGUGGCGAAGGCGACUGCCUGGCCCAAUACUGACGCUGAGGUGCGAAAGCGUGGGUAGCGAACAGGAUUAGAUACCCUGGUAGUCCACGCUGUAAACGAUGUCAACUAGCCGUUGGAGGACUUGAUCUUUUAGUGGCGCAGCUAACGCGAUAAGUUGACCGCCUGGGGAGUACGGCCGCAAGGUUAAAACUCAAAUGAAUUGACGGGGGCCCGCACAAGCGGUGGAGCAUGUGGUUUAAUUCGAUGCAACGCGAAGAACCUUACCAGGUCUUGACAUCCUGAGAAUCCUGUAGAGAUACGGGAGUGCCUUCGGGAAUUCAGUGACAGGUGCUGCGUGGCUGUCGUCAGCUCGUGUCGUGAGAUGUUGGGUUAAGUCCCGUAACGAGCGCAACCCUUGUCCUUAGUUGCUAGCAGGUUAUGCUGAGAACUCUAAGGAGACUGCCGGUGACAAACCGGAGGAAGGUGGGGACGACGUCAAGUCAUCAUGGCCCUUACGACCUGGGCUACACACGUGCUACAAUGGCCGGUACAAAGGGCAGCAAAGCGGUGACGUGGAGCCAAUCCCAUAAAACCGGUCGUAGUCCGGAUUGGAGUCUGCAACUCGACUCCAUGAAGUCGGAAUCGCUAGUAAUCGUAGAUCAGAAUGCUACGGUGAAUACGUUCCCGGGCCUUGUACACACCGCCCGUCACACCAUGGGAGUGGGUUGCACCAGAAGUGGCUAGUCUAACCUUCGGGGGGACGGUCACCACGGUGUGGUUCAUGACUGGGGUGAAGUCGUAACAAGGUA